rnacentral:rRNA from 1 species
AUAAGAGGUCCCGCCUGCCCUGUGACAAAAGUUUUAACGGCCGCGGUAUUUUGACCGUGCGAAGGUAGCGUAAUCACUUGUCUUUUAAAUAGAGACCUGUAUGAAUGGCAUAACGAGGGCUGAGCUGUCUCCUCCCCCCAGUCAAUGAAAUUGAUCUGUCCGUGCAGAAGCGGACAUAAACACAUAAGACGAGAAGACCCUAUGGAGCUUAAGACACAAGAGCAGCCCACGUAAACCCCCUCACUUUAAUUGAGAAAAACAAUAUGGCCCUCUGCCCUAUGUCUUUGGUUGGGGCGACCGCGGGGAAACAAAAAACCCCCACGUGGAACGGACACCUCCCGAAACAAGACCCACAAGUCGAACAAACAGAAAUUCUGACCAAAAAGAUCCGGCAAAGCCGAUCAACGGACCCAGUUACCCUAGGGAUAACAGCGCAAUCCCCUUUUAGAGCCCAUAUCGACAAGGGGGUUUACGACCUCGAUGUUGGAUCAGGACAUCCUAAUGGUGCAGCCGCUAUUAAGGGUUCGUUUGUUCAACGAUUAAAGUCCUACGUGAUC